AUAAUAUAUUUUGUUGAGAAAAGAAAAUGUGAAAAUGGCAAAGAUGAUCAAAAUUGGCGGCAGAACAAUGGAGAAGGAAAAUAACCAUUUCUUUGUUUGAAAUGUGACGAAUGGGUUUAGUUGAAAAUGUGAGAACUUAUGAGAAACAUGAAAAUAAAGGUUUACGUUUGAAAUGUAUCAUGAUUUUUGUUAAGUGUUAACUGUGCCUAUCAAAAAUGAAUUGUGAAUGAUUUAAGUAAAAUGGAAACAUGUUACUGAUGUUAAGAAUCAUCUACUCAACUUGAUCAUCAUCACCACCAACUAUACAAUCAACUUUCUUCUUCUCUUUUUUUAGUGCUCAAAGUGAUUGUUACCUUACAUUGUUAUAUUGUUGGUUUAUUCAAGAUGGUUCAUUUAAAUGUGUACAACACUUAAAAUAACUGUACUUGGGCCGAAUCAAGAUUUAAUGGUGAUAAAAGUGGAACCUUAAUUACUUCAUUAUCGUCCAUUACUCUUAUUGUUACUGAAAAUAUUGGUUGAUGGUAAUGACCAAGAAAAGGAUGGACGGAGUAGAAGAUGAUGGAGAAUUGAGGAUAUUUUAAAGAAAGGUUGGGUCACAUGUGAAUAAUCAAGCUAGAUAGGUAAUCAAGUUGGAGAACUGAUUAAACCAUAUUCAUCAAAUGUCAUGGAAGGAAAAAAAGGAAGAAAUAAGGAUCAAGAAGAAUCUGUUUUUUGAUGGUUUGUCUUGGAAACUGGAUAAAGAUGAUUCAAAUUAGGUUCAACUCAUUUUUUUCUUACCACCACUCCUACACUCAUCCUAAUCUGUAGUAUUUCAUUGUUUCUGAUUGAAUCUGUUCAACAAUUAGAGUUAAAUUAAGCUACUCAUAGUUAGCCUGCAUUUCCAUGUGAUCCAUUUUAAUGUCUUUCAACAAACUUCCUGGGCGAUUUAUUGAGGAAAGGCCAAUAUCAAGUGAUGAUCAAUGUACAAGACCUAAUAAGUAGUCAAGAUUAUCCCAUUGAUUAAAAGGCUAGUCUAACUGUUAACCUUUAGGCUCUCAUUAUUUGUUAAAAUUUGGAUUAGUAUCCUUUAAUAUCAAGAUGUAGAUUUGAUGGUUUGAAAAAUAAUUAAUCACUAUCAAAUCAACUCAUUGAGAAGAGAUGAGAAGUUUAAUUUUGCAAGCUCUCUUUCCUAUUUUACCAUCAAUUGCUAUUUUGAUUCAUUAUUUGAAGGAAGAAAUGAUGAGAAAAGAAAAAAAGAACUUUUCAAUCUUCGUUUCUCUUUCAAAACAUCAUCAACAUCACAUUAACGCUCAUAUUUUAUGCAUAAUCUGAUGUUUUUUUGUCGAAUAGUGAAAUGAGCAAUUUUCUCUCCUUUCCAACUCUCAUUUAACCUACAACCGGACAGUUUAAAUACACUUUUGCUUCAAUUACAGAAAUCUACUCAAUUGACCCCAAGAAUUAUUCAAAGAUUUGCAUACAACAUAAAUCAAGCAUAAUCAAGGAACCUGAUUGCGUCGCGAACAACCAGUGAUUACGGACACAAUGAAAGUUGGAUUCAAAAAUAACUACACGAUGGAUUUAAAAAUAUUGGACAAGUGUUAAUUGUAAUGAUGCAAAUGGUUUAGUUGCCUAAAAUUUUAAUGUCAUUUAGUUGGUUGGUUUAUAAAAAACCAAUCUAAUUAGUUUAUCAUCAUUAUAGCCAGCCAAUUCAAUAAUGAUUCCAGCAGACUAUUCGUAGAUUGAUUAUAGAUAUAUUUGACAAUCAACACUUAGCGUUCAGACUGAUGACCAGUAUUAAGUUUGUAUUCUCACAAUUUAGAUCAGUGUUUGAAUCAUUUAUUUGUUUGCAUCAUUUGCUCAAUUUUUAGCUAAUAACUUUUCUGAAACAGAUAUAGAAUAAUCAAACAGCAGUAAAUGACUAACGAUACUGAUAAAAUUGCGUCAAGCAGAUAAUUUGUUCAUCUUUCCGUUUGCUCAAUUCACUUUCUAAUUGUUGAACAGUGUCAAAUUUGACUGAUUGUCAUCAUGAUCGAGACAAUUAUUGUCCAAUCUCUUCAACUUUUCACUUCAAGUUAACUAAUUCUUUUCGCCUGUCAAAGUGCAUAGAAAGUGACAAAAAGCCAACAACAAUCAAUGGAACAAUCAACCCAAGAAGAACUUGAAAGCAAGGAAGAAAAGGCCGGAUUUUACACUCAAAUGCAUAUAAACUAUAAAAUUGAAUAGUUAAAGUGACUCAAAGAUGAACCAAGAAAACGUUUGUGAUACAAUAAGUGCUUACCUUGAUGUUGCAAGUGUUUAAAUGAUUAAGGUUUAAAACAGAUUGAACACAAUUUUUCAUUUAAAAUGUUGCACUUUCUCACAUACUGUAUUGUUAUUUCAAGUAUUAUAUUUAAUCCCUUUGACAAUGAGUAAAUUGUUAUUCAUAACUAAUAUUGCAAGUUAAUCAAGAAAGUUGAUUACAAAAUAAGGAGUCACUAUCCGAAUGAACAAGGUCAAUUCCCUUUCUUGAAAUGAAUAUUGUAAGAGAGAAUAAGGUAAACCUGUAAAACAUCAUGUAAUUUGUUCCUAAAGGUUAACUCUGAUAGUUAUCUUUAUAAAGAUGAAACCUCUUCAACAAUUUUCAAGAAAUAACUUUGAGUAAUCAAUUGUUGUAGGCGUUUGGAUUCAAUCAGAAAACAUUGUAAAAGCUGAACAAAAAAAAGUGAAUUUGAUUGAAAUGACUGUUCAAUCAAUGUUAAAUUCAAUAAUAGACUCUGUAAAUUGACUAGA